AAUGCCCUUACUAUAACGAGGUGUUUAAAAAUAUAAAUCUAUAUAGAUUUAAAUGAAGCUUAUUGAAGUCAAUACUUUGUAUGUUCGUGCGUACAUGCAUGUGUCUGUGAGCGUGUAUUAGGGUUCACCGUCUUUUUCAACAUUUUCUUUUUCUGUCAUAUAAAGGGCGGUGUCUGCUUAAUAGAGUUGCUUUACUGCAAUAUUACGCCGUAGACACGUGGCAUGAUUCUCACCCAGUUACAUUACACUGACAACGGGCUGUCUGGUCCCAGAAUUGUCUUCUUAAUGCUGAGCGCCAAGCGAGGAAGCUACUUAUACCAUGUAUCACGUCUUUGUGGUAUGACACGGCCAGGGAGUGAAACAGCGAACCCGGACCUCCCGCACUCGAUGCGGGCGCAGUACCACUAGGCUACCGAGGAACGUUUCCAGAGGGAAUGAAAAUAUGUUACACUGCAUUGUCUGAUAUCAUCGAUGUAGGCCGAGAAGUUCGAUUUCCGAGGAAGAAUUCGUUAACAUCAUGAGAGCACAUGGUCACAACAGCGUGGCUUUGGAUAAGAAAUUCUUCAGUGGUUUUAACACAGUUGGUGGAAAAGUUCCGUCAAAAGUCAAGGAUGCUGCUUUUGAAUCAGGAAUUAAGAUUUUGACACAGCUCUGACGUCUUGGAGGCUUUUGAACCGGGCCCAAAGAUUUUUCCGGUUUCAACUGAGUUUAAGAUUCAAAUUUUGUAAGCUUUAACUAACACUUCAAGGUAAAAUCCCAGUUAACGUUUGCAAUCAAUAAUGUCAGCAAGGCAUACCAACUACACUAUUGACCUUUUCGGACAGUGUAAUGAAACUAUUUAAUUCGCGAACUUACAGACUAGCAAUCGCAGUCUAAUCAAUGUAACUUUGUUAUAUAAUGUGGAUUCAGAGGAUGGACAUUUUCCCGGUUUUAACCCACAUAUGAGCUUUUGCCACUGACUAGAUCUUAAUUCGUUUGUAUUGUCUUCAUUACCUUGUUUUCAGUAUGUUAAACUUUGGCUAUAAUUUAUUAUGUUACACGAUGGGGAAUCACAUCUCUAAACCAAAGUAAAUUUACAAAUAAUAUUGAAGCACUAAGCUUCACCUUUUUAUUGUGUUUGACGGAAAAGGGGAGAAAGACUCUGUGAUAAGCAGUGUUUAAAUCACACCAGGCCUGAACUGUUUUGAUUUUUGUCUUCUGGCCUGUUUCUUCGGGCCCUUAAGGGUUUAUAUGAGCUCUGCCUUCUGCAUAGGCAUUUUGUACACACGUUUUUGUUUCUUAAGAUUUGCUUUUUAUAUAAUCAUACAUGAGCAUUUUUGUGUUUUACAUGUCAUGCCUUUUAUUUCCAUUGCGUGUGUUAGAAAUGCACUUGGCGUGGAUUACGUUUAUUUAAACUGUUCUGUGACUUUGGAACAUGGUGGGGUAAGAGAAAGGUUAAGCUACCCAGAGGUGUUUUUGCCAUUUUUGCCCCACUGCGUUCCUUUAUUUGUUUGUUUUGUCCUCUUGUGUUUGCUUUGUAUGUGUUUGUUAGUAGUAUGCACAUCUACUUCAUGUGAGUUUCGUUUCGGGGAGGCUGCGUUUGUUUUGGAACGUGGCAUUCUGUUUAGUAUUUAUACUUUUUUUGUUGUUUCUUUUGCUGUGAAUCUAAAGCAUAGCCUAUCUUGUGGCAACAUGAAUGUAUUCUAAAAGUACAUAUAAUGGAAUUUGGAACAUUUUAAGGAACUGAGAUUUCAUAUUUUAUUAAGCGUUCAUAAAUAACAAGAAAUCUAAUAUCAUUGCGAACUACAUAUUUUAUUUAUUCAACAUUAGCCAUACAUUAGGCUUUGUUUAUAUUUCAUAUCUUAUAACGGCAGGAAAUUUAUUCAUGUUCUUCAAAAUAUCACUUUGCUUUAGAUAUUAUUUUGAUCAUGUGAUUCCCCACACGGUGUUAAAAAUUUACAUAUCCAGACAGGGUUUCGGUUGUGGAGCUCUAAGAACGCGGUUUUCCCUACAGGAUUGUUUUCUGUGCUUUAAUCGUAGUCGAACUGUUGUUUUAUGGCUAGUAUAAUCCAGCAAAUAUUUUAACAAACUUUUAUUCUGGCAUUGUAAGGAUAGGAAUUUCAAAUAGCGAAUUCGAAUUAUAUAAAAAAUAAGAGAUAUGUACGUCAUUUUUAUUAAUAUUUAUAUUUAAUACCAAGACAGGUGGUCAAUACCUUUCAGGAACUAUUAUCUACAUUUAUGGUUGUUUACUAGGAUACAUGACGAAAUUGUUUAUCACAAAAUAUAACCUUAAUGUCUUAAAGCAAUUACUCCGGCCGCUUGGUCUGGCUUCCCACGUGGUAGUACAGAAUCUUGGCGCGCCUUUUAUAAGCAAUUCAUUGGUCCAUAUUAGAUGAACUUAUCAUGUGAUGUAUGAUUUAAAAAUCUAUUGGAUAAUUUAGUUUUAAGUCCGAUUUUUAGAUAUUAAAGAUUGUGAAGAAGUAAAAAGAAAAUCAGGUUUUGGAUCUUCAAGUGGAAUAUAAUAGUUUUCCAUUAGAAGUUACAUCUUUAUGAUCUUUCGGUUUUACCGACGUAAAAGUUAUAUUGUUAUGAUUAGUUGUUAUAUUUGUGAAAUAUGAGAUUUCUCAUACUUGAAUAUUAAUAGAAAUAAGAAAGUAAACUGCGUUGUUUUCAAUACAUAUACUAACACAAAAGUUAGUUAAAAUUGUGCCGGAAGUCCAAUCUGUUUUAUUAAGGUGGCAGGGGAGUGCAGAUUUGCGAAUUCCACAUUGACGUGUGGGUACCAGUGUUGAAAUAUCCAUAGAAAUCUCGUUUUUGCUUAUUUUUCUUUGAAACUACUAUGGACCAUUGCAGAUACUAUAGACUACAUAAAUACGACUCUCCGGUCCUAUGCACCUGUCGCUUUCCAUGCCAGAUGUAGUGAAAAAUGGCCAAAUCACUCAAAUUUUAUAGACCAAAAUUAGCCUAACCGGGCCUCACUUUGAACUCUGCCGUUUUAUAUUUUUAAAUCCAAUUUCGUAGCAUAUAUGUAUAGUGCGAACAUAGAUGCAUACCCAGGUGGUGUGGAAAGUGUCUCCCAACCACCAUAUUAUUUCCCUAAUUUUCACUUGAAUAAAAGUGGAUGGAUGACAGCCGAGCGUCUGGCCGACUUUUUGUUCUGAUGUUUAUGUUUUAGCCUCAACCGGAAGUACGGAGCUAGGAAUUUUAAAACACCCGCCAUGUAGAAUCAUUAAUCGUUCCUCAUUCCCCAGAUAUAUUAAAGAAUUAUUAAUGAUAAAUAACCAGUAAGAUAGAUAUGCCUUUAUAUCUACCCUGUCCUGUUGAUACAGUAAAUCGACCGGGGCCAACUACGAAACCGCUCCCCUGCCACCUAAAGACACUUUGUUUAGUGUUCCCAUAUCCUGAAGUGCUUUAUCUCUCUUCUGCCUACUCUACUUCAAACUAGUGAUGGAAAUUUAGCUCGACCUUGUCCAGAUUCUAAUACAGUCUUAUUUACAUUUUAUGCAGUUGUAUUUUAUAGCGUAUUUUAUAGCGUAGACACGUAACCUUGAAUUAAUUAAGUAUAGUUGCCAUAGACUUCAGAUAUUUGAUAAAGCUGCACAUUCGUGUCACUGGCGUAGCGGAUAUAAUACAUAUAAAGAUCAUCAUGGCAAACGACUACAUCAUCAACAAAUGGAAACUGUGGUUUAGGGCAAUUGAUAUCAACCACAAGGGUAAGAUUUCAUCAGCAGACGUGCAACAAGAGGGUUUGUAUAAACCUGAUGGAGGGAAAGUUCCAUUGCAAGUUCUUAUCGACUCGUGGGUCCAGUUUACAAUCUCUGAUGAUAGUUCGCUAAGAGAUGUGGUGAAGGAAGCUUUAGAGGCGGGCAUAUAAUCGCUCUUGUGCAUGCAAUACGGAUAAGCUUAACACAUAAUCAGAGGAUUAAUAGAUAUGCAAAUUAACUGAUGGACAACUUUAAACAGUCUAUGACAAGGCCCUCUCAGUCAGGAAAUAAGCAGUAUAGCUUUUGGAUCAGUGGUGAAAAGUAGCUGUAACCCGAGUUCAAACAUUAAAGAACAAAUAUUCUGAAGUCAUUAUCUUUACGAACUUCUUAUUUAAUCCGCUUACUUAACACGUGAGAUCUCAAAAACAAGUAGUUUUCCUUUGUUUGAUAGUGCACCUAAAUAUCAGUUGAUCAUAUUAAUAUUGUGUAGAACAAUCGAAGAAACAGUUGCUAUCUGUACGUUUGCAUAAUAAGAAUAAACAUUAAUGGAAAAAUAGCAUUGUCUUUGUGUACAAUCCUGAAAAUAAUUUUACUAUUCCAUACUUUAAGUAUAACAUGGUGUAACUGGAUGGUAAUAUUUAAAUGCAAUUUGGUCACUUUAAAGACAUUCAAAAUGAAAAACUUUUCACCGGGAGAUUUUUCAAAUCUUAUCCUUUUUUAGGGAGAUAAUUAAGAAAUGAAAUGAUCUUUUUCGGUGUUCAUGCGAAACGAACGACAGAAUAGAUUCGGCAAAUCAAUGAAUCGCGCUAGCGAUUCAUGUUUAAUUUGCCGAUCCUAUUCUGUCGUUCAUUUCGCAUGAACACCGAAAAUAAUAGUUUCAUUUCUUAUAUUUACAUUAUAUUUCUUUCCAUUUGUAAACUAUAUAAUAUUAUAAAUUGCAUAUAAUUUGUAGCAUUUAACAUUAAAAUCAGCUUCCCGGCCAUUUUGUUCAACAGACGGAACAACUGCAACGUCAUCUAAAGAACGCUCUCCCUGCCUAUACGCGGACGUUGUCAAAACGUCGCUCGGUUAUCACUUAGCAGCGAUGACGUAACUUUCGCGCCUUUCCUUUUGCUGUUCAUAAGAAAUGAACGUCAACAGUUUCAAUGGAAAAGAAUAGGGCGAAUGUAAAUAUUUGAUUUUGAAGUUAACAUUGAUGCCUAUGGGAAAUGAAGAAUUUCUUUGAUUAUGAAAAUCUGAACUUGAGUUUUGAGAAAAUUUUGCGGUAGAAAGUUGCAUUAUAUGAUUCUGAUACAAAUAUCAAAAAGAAAUCUAAACUUCCCCGUAGGGAAAAGGAGAAAAUCAUUUUUUCUAGUUUUCAGGGGAGAUAACUCAUGAUAAAUUA